rnacentral:rRNA from 1 species
CCUACGGGGGGCAGCAGUGAGGAAUAUUGGUCAAUGGUCGGGAGACUGAACCAGCCAAGCCGCGUGAGGGAGGAAGGUACAGAGUAUCGUAAACCUCUUUUGUCAGGGAACAAAGGCGGGGACGUGUCCCCGGAUGAGUGUACCUGAAGAAAAAGCAUCGGCUAACUCCGUGCCAGCAGCCGCGGUAAUACGGAGGAUGCGAGCGUUAUCCGGUUUUAGUGGGUUUAAAGGGUGCGCAGGCGGUCUGUUAAGUCAGCGGUCAAAGCCCGGGGCUCACCCCCGGCCCGCCGUUGAAACUGGCAGUCUCGAGUUGGAGAGAAGUAUGCGGAAUGCGCGGUGUAGCGGUGAAAUGCAUAGAUAUCGCGCAGAACUCCGAUUGCGAAGGCAGCAUGCCGGCUCCACACUGACGCUGAGGCACGAAAGCGUGGGUAUCGAACAGGAUUAGAUACCCUUGUAGUC